rnacentral:rRNA from 1 species
AUUGAACGCUGGCGGCGUGCUUAACACAUGCAAGUCGAACGGUAAGGCCCCUUCGGGGGUACACGAGUGGCGAACGGGUGAGUAACACGUGGGUGAUCUGCCCUGCACUCUGGGAUAAGCCUGGGAAACUGGGUCUAAUACCGGAUAUGAACUCCUGUCGCAUGGCGGGGGUUGGAAAGGUUUACUGGUGCAGGAUGGGCCCGCGGCCUAUCAGCUUGUUGGUGGGGUAAUGGCCUACCAAGGCGACGACGGGUAGCCGGCCUGAGAGGGCGACCGGCCACACUGGGACUGAGACACGGCCCAGACUCCUACGGGAGGCAGCAGUGGGGAAUAUUGCACAAUGGGCGAAAGCCUGAUGCAGCGACGCCGCGUGAGGGAUGACGGCCUUCGGGUUGUAAACCUCUUUCAGCAGGGACGAAGCGAGAGUGACGGUACCUGCAGAAGAAGCACCGGCCAACUACGUGCCAGCCGCCGCCGUAAUAC